UACAGGGGGGUGCAAACGUUGCUCGGAAUCAUUGGGCGUAAAGCGCACGUAGGCGGUUCGUUAUGUCGGAUGUGAAAGCCCCUUGGCUUAACCGAGGAAGUGCAUCCGAAACUGGCGAGCUAGAGUACUAAAGAGGAUCGCGGAAUUCCCGGUGUAGAGGUGAAAUUCGUAGAUAUCGGGGAGGAACACCGGUGGCGAAGGCGGCGAUCUGGGUAGAUACUGACGCUGAGGUGCGAAAGCGUGGGGAGCAAACAGG
rnacentral:rRNA from 1 species